UACGUAGGGUCCAAGCGUUAAUCGGAAUUACUGGGCGUAAAGCGUGCGUAUGCGGUCUCGCAAGUCCGAUGUGAAAUCCCCGGGCUUAACCUGGGAACUGCGUUGGAAACUAUGAGGCUAGAGUGCGGCAGAGGGGGGUGGAAUUCCAGGUGUAGCAGUGAAAUGCGUAGAUAUGCGGAGGAACACCGAUGGCGAAGGCAAUCCCCUGGGCCUGUACUGACGCUCAUGCACGAAAGCGUGGGGAGCAAACAGG
rnacentral:rRNA from 1 species